rnacentral:rRNA from 1 species
UACGUAGGGUGCAAGCGUUGUCCGGAAUUAUUGGGCGUAAAGAGCUCGUAGGCGGUUUGUCGCGUCGAAUGUGAAAACCCGGGGCUCAACCCCGGGCCUGCAUUCGAUACGGGCAGACUAGAGUUCGGUAGGGGAGUCUGGGAAUUCCUGGUGUAGCGGUGAAAUGCGCAGAUAUCAGGAGGAACACCGGUGGCGAAGGCGGGUCUCUGGGCCGAUACUGACGCUGAGGCGCGAAAGCGUGGGGAGCAAACAGGAUUAGAGUAC